GACGAACGCUGGCGGCGUGCUUAACACAUGCAAGUCGAACGGUGAAGCGCCUUCCUUUUUGGUGGGUGUGGAUGAGUGGCGAACGGGUGAGUAACACGUGAGUAACCUGCUCCCUUCUUCUGGAUAACCGCAUGAAAGUGUGGCUAAUACGGGAUAUUCUGGGUCUGUCGCAUGAUGGGUCUGGGAAAGAUAUUGUUUCGGUGGGGGAUGGGCUCGCGGACUAUCAGCUUGUUGGUGGGGUGAUGGCCUACCAAGGCGGUGACGGGUAGCCGGCCUGAGAGGGUGGACGGUCACAGAGGGACUGAGACACGGCCCAGACUCCUACGGGAGGCAGCAGUGGAGAAUAUUGCACAGUGGGCGGAAGCAUGAUGCAGCGACGCCGCGUGGGGGAUGGAGGCCUGCGGGUUGUGAACCUCUUUCGCCAGUGAAGCAGGCCUGCCUCGUUUGUGGGUGGGUUGACGGUAGCUGGAUAAGAAGCGCCGGCUAACUACGUG
rnacentral:rRNA from 1 species